rnacentral:tRNA from 1 species
GGCCUGAUAGCUCAACUGAUAAAGCACUGCACAAGAAUUGCAGAGGCCAUGGUUUGAGUCCCAUUCAGGCCU